UACGUAGGGUGCGAGCGUUAAUCGGAAUUACUGGGCGUAAAGCGUGCGCAGGCGGUUUUGUAAGUCUGACGUGAAAUCCCCGGGCUCAACCUGGGAAUUGCGUUGGAGACUGCAAGGCUAGAAUCUGGCAGAGGGGGGUAGAAUUCCACGUGUAGCAGUGAAAUGCGUAGAGAUGUGGAGGAACAUCGAUGGCGAAGGCAGCCCCCUGGGUCAAGAUUGACGCUCAUGCACGAAAGCGUGGGGAGCAAACGAGG
rnacentral:rRNA from 1 species